rnacentral:lncRNA from 10 species
GCGCUGCCAGAGCCCUGCCGGCUAAGGGAUGGGGAAACAAACAGAGACAUGGUCUUGCUACGUUGCCCAGGCUGGUCCCGAACUCCUGGUCUCAAGUAGUCCUCCCACCUUGGCAUCCCAGAGUGCUGGGAUUAUAGACAUGAGCCACCGCGUCCAGCAAUUAGUCUUUUCUAAACUUCAUAUUGUCUCUACUCCUAUCUACACUUCACCUUUCUUCAGAUCCCUGCCAUCUAUCCUCCAACUCCACCACCAGCUGAUCCGGCACGCUAAAGACCACCAAUGAUUUAAAGGCUGCGAAAUCGUUAAAAUACUACGCUAGCAGGCCCACUAAUGAAUUAGCCUUCUUGUUCACUGACUUCCCAAUACACCUGCUCCAGGAUAUCCCCUGUCAUCCCAAAUGACUCAAGAAUGUGACGCUAUUCCGGAGUGAAGAGUGUUUCUCGGGAUUUCGCGAGCUUUUUUCCUAGAUGCCUCACAGAGCUUGCUGUCCGGCAGUCCAGUUAUGGGUUUGCCAGCACAGUAGUUCAUUGUGAGAAGUGUUUCUAAUGGGUGCUACAGGGCUGCAGAGGCAAGCUUUGGGAAUGCUGUUGGUGCAGCAAGUGCUUCCGGGUGGCGGAUUGCCAUAGCAUAGGGGAAACAACUCCUGGUCUUCCAUUUAAGAGGGUCAUACCUUCACUGUACCUGGGGGAUCUCAAUACUCCAAGUAAAGGAAUCAGCAUGGAAUCAAAUUAUUGAUAAAUGUGAUGCUGCAACCAGAAUGUUGAGCACUGCAUGAUACAGACGAAGUCGAUGUUGUAGGUCAUUAGUAACAUGUGGUAUGGGAGGUUCUGGUUUCUGUAAGUGCAUGGUUUCCAUGGACUUGGAGAUGAUGAUGCCUCUGAGGACAUGUCAUUUAGAGCUGGGCAGACCGCACAGAGAAUUGUGGUACAGAUUGUUGUAACAGUAUGAAGCCCUCUCAUUUGCUGUAUGUACAGCAUGGCCAGUGCUAAUGUGCUCAAUUUCCGUAGGUGGGGCUGUAAUCUCGUAAUUCCCAGUCAAAAGAGGUAGGAAGGGAUGCUGAGGACCCAGGGAUACUGAUGAUUGGGCUGACCCAGAAGUGGCCAUCUUUGUGGAAACCAGGCUGGAGUGCAAUGGUGUGAUCUCAGCUCACUGCAACCUCCACCUCCAGGGUUCAAGCAAUUCUACUGCCUCAGCCUCCCGAGUAGCUGGCAUUACAGGCGCAUGCAACCACGCCCAGCUAAUUUUUUGCAUUUUUAGUAGAGACGGGGUUUCACCGUGUUGGCUAGGCUGGUCUCAAACUCCUGAUCUCAGGUCAUCUGCCUGCCUCAGCCUCCCAAAGUGCUGCAAUCACAGGCAUGAGCCACCUGGCCUGUUUUUUAAAAAGCCUAAGCCUGUUGACCCCAGGCUCCACAAUCUUCAAUUUUCCGAGUCUCAGUUUUUUUUUCAUGAGUAAAAUAGAGGUAAUACCUACCUCACAGAGAUUUUGUGAAGAUUAAAUGAAACAGUGUCUGGACCAUAAGUGCCCAAUAUAAAGUCAUCCAGAGUAAAGUCAUAGGGCUCAAAGUCUUUCCGGAAGCGGCGAGCCAGGGUCUCCUCGUCUUCCUUGCUGAUCUGACACUGCCUCCAGUCAGACUUAUCAGGAACAUUAAGGAUGGCUUCACUGGCCAGGACCUCCCUGCAGAAAUAGCACAAAGAAGUCAAAAUGGAAACUAUCAGCCUGAGCUCUCCUCAACAUCACCCAAAGGAGGUAUGCAAAUUUCUCUGACUUUGCUCUCCUGCCCUGAGUGCCAUCUCUGCCAUACUAUUGAUCAAAAUCAUACCCGUUUUAAAUGACCAGCUCAGGUACUAUAUAUUUCCUGAUCCUUCAAACCCCACUUGCUUCUCCCUCUCUUAAAAAACUUGGAACUAUAUUAUUGGUACUUAGAGAAGCAACACCACAUAGAAAAAGGGCAGGCCCUGGUGUGAGAAAGAUCAGAGACUGGAUCCCAUUUCCAGCUUUGCCACUUGCUAUCUAUGAUCUAGACAGAUGAUUUCAUCUCUGAGUCUUGAUUUCCUCACCUAUGAAAUGCAAAUAAGAACACCCACCAUACAGGGUUUUUGUGAGGUACAGAGAUAACACAGUCAAAGUGCCAUAUUAGCUGUGAUUACAACCUGCCUUAAACUGUAGUUUUGUCACCUCAACUAGACAUGAGUUUGCAGAGUCAGGAGCCUAGUCAUACCCACUCUGAUUUAAAAUUCCUCUGCCUCUCCUUCUAGGGGACUCAGGCCCACGUAACAGCAGCACAAGCCCAAUGUCAACAAAACAACUAUCUUGGCUCUUAGGACUAAAGAAUAACUACAUACAGACACACUCACACACAAGCUGCCUUCUAAUCGCCAUUGCUUUAUAUUUUUAUUUUUACUUAUUUUGAUAUAUUAGAAAUAAUUCUAUUACACAUUUAUAUGGUUCAUUUUCCACUUUGAAGUUACAGUAAAUAGAAGAGUUAGAAACAAAUCAUGAAUUCUCUAUAAGUCAAAGAACCUAAGCUCCCUGGGCAAACUUUGAGCCUAUUUCAAAUAUAAAAGGAAAAUAGAACUACCUUUCUUGUACAGCUGAAAAAAAUAUGCCAUUUCAAAUAUUUUGUUAACUAUAAAAUGCUAUAUAACUAUAAAUUAGUAUCUUGAUAAUUACUCAAUAUUGAAAAUACAUCAUAAGCACAAAACCAUUCAGAGAAUCUUCUUUUUGUGUGCUUUAUACGCCUAUGUGUAUCUGCAAUCGUGUGCUUAUGUUGUCAAUGUUCAUAACCGCAUCUGUUGCUGAGGCAACAACGAAAACAUCACGUCAGAUGUCUGAAUCUCGUAGCACACUUGUUCCCAUUUAUCUUUUUGAAAAAUGUAGACAACUACAUUUACUGGACUUAUCUAAGGGGGCAAUCUCUUGGAGGCUUUCUGAAUUAGUCCAAGACAGGUUCAAGGCUCACUCAAAGCCCAUUUUUAACUAGGGGAGAAAAAACAGCUGCAAAUCACAGACACCAGCAUCAGAUACUCUGUUCUACACAUUUUCCACUCCCCUUCAAACUGUAUCUUCUUGCCAGCAACUUCCCAUCUUCAAUCUUUGCUUAAGUUAUGUUACUCCCUCUAUGGUUUUGCAGUCAUGUUUUGCCUGAUACGAGGAACAGAACUGAAGCCUCCUCUAGGCCUUUACCAUACUGUAGAACACUGAGGUUAAGACCUCAAGUUUUGAGGUCCAACAGGCCUGGGUUUGAACCUACCACUGUGUGACUAGGACAAGCUACCUAAGCUCUCUACAGCCUGCUAUCCAGUGGGGUAACCAUUAGCCAGGUAUGGCUAUUUAAAUUUAAAUUCUAAUUAAUUAAAUAAAAUCAAAAAUUUAGUUCCUCAGUCACAUUAGCCACAUUUCAGCACUCAGUGGCCACAAGUGGCUAGUCACAACUGUAUUGGACAGUGCAGAUAUUUGAGCAUUUCCAUCGUUGUGAAAAGUCUACCGGGCACUGCUCUAGAGCCUCAUUUUCCACACUGGUAAAUCGGGAUGACAGUACCUACCUUACAGAGUUAUGAAGAUUAAAUGAGUCAUGUAUGUGUAAAGUUCUUGGUACAGUUCUUGGCACAGAGUAUGUGCUCAAUUAAAGUUCCCUAGCACUUCUGGCUAGAAUGCCCUCACCUCAAUCUUUGCCCUCUAAAUAUGCCUCUCAGGUUCAACUUUGCCACUUUCAUGAAGGCUUUCACCAACUAGAAAUGAGCUGUCCCUUUUCUGAAUUUCUACAGCACAUUGUUCUCCAAAACUCUGUCAUGGUACUCUUCACAUUCUACAUUACAUUACUGUCAUAUAUGUAAACAUCUGCCCUAAGACCAUGGGUCCUCUGGGGCAAGGACUGUUUACAAUUUAGCUUUUUAUCAAUUGUCCCAUGUAGCCCACCACUCUGUUCAUAGCAGGUCUAGUGAAAAUACAUUGAAAAGAAGAAAAACAUACCUUCCAAACUGCAAAGGAAAAUUCUUUUUAAUUCUGUGGAAAAGCUUUUCUCCUGUGUCAAGUUCAACAUAAAAAUAUGCUGCUCCUGGCUGUGCAAUCUAAAGUAAACAGAGUUGUAUGAGGAUGUCCAAUAAUGCUUUAAAAAUCUAUAAUCUGAGUUCAUCUCUAGGCAAAUAAUUCAGUCUAAAUGCACAAGAAAAAAAGAUAUGUAUGUUGCUAUAGAUCCCAAGCCACUUAGUGGAACUAGGGCUUAAAAAGUCUAACUGGAAGAUACUAACAAUAUCCUCCCAGUGGCGUCUAUCCUUCUAAGUUCCUACCUUAGGAAAUUCUAAUUUCUUGCUCUUCCCAGGAAAGCACUAAACUUUGGAGUAAUGCCCUGUUCAUCUCCAGUCUAGUCAAUACCCAGUGCUCUAGUUCCAAAUUGUCCACUGCCUCUUUUUUUUUUUUUUUUUUUUAGAGACAGGGUCUUGCGAUGUUGCCCAGGCUGAAGUACAGUGGUGCAAUCAUACCUCACUGCAUCCUCAAACUCCUAGGCUUAAGUGAUCCUCCUGACUCUCAGCCUCCUGAGUAGCUAAGACUACAGGCACAUGCCACCAUGCCAAGCUUAUUUUUUUAUUUUUUGUAGAGACAAGGUGUCUCACUUUGUUGCCCAGGCUGGUAUCAAACUCCUGGCUUCAAGUGCUCCUCCCGCCUCAGCCUCCCAAAGUGUUGGAUUACAGGUGUGAGCUACCAUGCCCAACCCAUUGCCUAUUUAAUAACAUUUUUGGAAUGCCUUGAUAGCUCAACAUGUCAAAAACCUUAGGCUCAACAUGUCAAAAACCAGAUCUUGCCAGGCGUGGGUGGCUCAUGCCUGUAAUACCUUCGGGAGGCCAAGGCAGGCAGAUCACAAGGUCAGGAGUUCGAGACCAGCCUGGCCAAUAUGGUGAAACCCCGUCUCGACUAAAAAUACAAAAAGUAGCCAGGUAUGGUGGCGCAUGCCUGUAGUCCCAGCUACUGGGGAGGCUGAGGCAGGAGAAUCACUUGAACCCGGAAGGCGGAGGUUGCAGUGAGCCAAGAUCAUGCCACUGCACUCCAACCUAGGCAACAGAGCAAGACUCUGUCUCAAACAAACAAACAAACAACAAACAACAACAAAAAAAACAGAUAUUUACUCUUCCCUGAAUAUCACCAUCCCCUGUUUCACCUGCUUGAUGUCAGAGUGCUCUGGGAUUUCCAACAGCUCUAUCUGCUGCUCCUGUGCCUGGGUAAUGAAGGCAUCUUUAAUGUCAUCAGUAGUAGAGCAGCUGAUUGGGACAGGAAUGACCUGGGGGUUGGGGAGACAGGAGAAAUUCCUUGUGCAGGUCCCAGAGAAGUUGUGCCUGCACAGUCUCUGAGAAGUAGCAAAUCCAUCACAGGGGUGGAGAAACACCCCUCAGCACAGAAUAUCCUCAGGCCAGACAAGCCUGUGUCAGCCUGUCUGUAAGGACUUAAACUUAUGAGAUAGCCUGACACAUGUGGGAGCCAUUCUCUGAUGCAGGAAAGGCUUAAGAGAGAUAUCUCCGUCACAAGCCUUUGCCAUCUCCGAUAUUAUAUAUGUGGCAGAGUUAGGCCCAUUUGAAAACUUAACAAAUGUGCCAAAAAGAAAACCACCACAACUACAAAUGAUUUACAAUCUGAUUUUCUGAGCUGCUAGCCCCAUGCAGGCUUUGAGACUAUUUCCUACCACUAAGCUUUCCCUCAUGCUGGGCCUCCACACAAAAUACUCACUUUCUUCCAAAUUCUUAUCCAGCAAGCCCCACAUCUUCCUUGGAACUUCCUCAACUACCCAUUCCUUUUCUAAACAAGGAACUUACUAUCUAUGCUGUUUACAUGUACUGACCACACACUUCCCUGUGAAGUCUCUGGGGUUACCACCAGAUACUCUUUAAAAACUUUUUAAAUGAAUGUUAUUUAAAUAUUAAUAUAAAAAUAUUAAAUAUUUUACAUAUUAAAGCUAAACUUUAUAUAAUUUUUUUUUUAAAGAUGGAGUCUCGCUCUGUUGCCCAGGCUGGAGUGCAGUGGCACAAUCUCGGCUCACUGCAACCUCUGCCUCCCAGGUUCAAGCUAUUCUCCUGUCUCAGCCUCCCGAGUAGCUGGGAUUACAGGCAUGCACCACCACGCCCAGCUAAUUUUUUUGUACUUUUAGUAGAGACAGGGUUUCACCGUGUUGCCCAGGCUGGUCUUGAACUCCUGAGCUCAGGCAAUCCAACCGCUUCGGCCUCCCAAAGUGCUAGGAUUACAGGCGUGAGCCACCUCGCCCAGCCUAUUUAAAUACUUAUUUACCAAUAUCAAAGUCCCCAUAGCGCCCUUCCAAGUUUCUAUGAACAGACCACCUACCUGUAGCUGGAGGUGAUGGCUCUUAUAAUUUCUCUCAAAUACAACACACCAUUUCCCUCGACUCUUAAAGAACCGUCUCAGAGUGGCCUUAUACUUCUCCACCUCUUCUACCACCUCUGCUGAAAGCUCCACCACUGACUGGUAGUGUCCAAUAGGCAGGAUGAGGACAUGGUCAUCAGAUAAGCCUCCUUUGGCCAGGGCAAGGUAGCACUGAAGAAGCAGCACACAGAAUUGAGACAUCAAUACAGCAUGUAGGAUUCUCCAGGGAGAAAAACCUAUACAAAAAGUGAGCCUGAGGGUGUAGGCGAAAAGUACUUGAGGUUAUUAAUAAAAAUUCUUUCUUGAAAAAAUCUGAUUUUAGAGAUUGUAGCAACAAUGUUCUCAGGUAUCCGCUGAAGAGUGAGAUUCGGCAUGAAAAUUUCUAUGCAAGUAGCAAAUGAACUAGGAGCAAAUGAAUUGGGAGAGGCACACAAGCAGGCUUUUGGCUUCAAACACACUGAGCUGAGGGAGACCAGAACAAAUCGCUGGGUUUUCCCUCCCAUGCUCCAAACUUGAAAACAGUUUUUCAGUUUUUAUCACCCUCAACCACAAAAAGAUACAACUUCUGAUUUCAAAAUGACCACUUUCGGCUGGGAUAGUGGCUCACGCUUGUAAUCCCAAAACUUUGAGAGGCCGAGGCAGGUGGACCGCCUGAGGUCAGAAGUUCCAGACUAGGCUGACCAAUAUGGUGAAACCUCAUUUCUACUAAAAAU